AUUAAUUUCUUAACCCUCAUAUUAUCUCCAAAUGUCUUCAAAAAUGGGUGGGGUUAGCUAACCCCACCUCAAAUAUGCUAUCCUGAGUUAGCUAACCCCACCUCAAAUAUGCUAUCCUGAGUUAGCUAAUCCCACCUAACCCCAUCAAACCUCAACCAAACACUAUUUUCUAUUUAUAAUAACCCACUAUCCUUCUUAUCUCAUCUACUCUAACCAAACACUAUUUUUCACUAUUCUGGACUAACUCCAACCCCCAACCAAACACAAAAAUACUCUAACCCUACCUCAAUCCUGAACUUAAUCCAAUUCCUGGAAUAACUAGUUUUUCCUUAACCCCGAACCGAACGGUAGCUAAAGAUUAAUUAUAAGAGCUUAUAUAACUCUAUAAUCUCAAUUAUGGUAGGAAACGAUCUCCGCCAUACAUCCGAGUCUCCGAUUCGUAUUUAACCAUCAAUCUCCUCAUAGGAAUUAUCUUUAAAGUGAUCUUGAACUAUUCUUAAUAUUUUAAAAUAAGAUUAAAUUCAAUUAGAGUCAAAUUCAGCAUAUUCAACUGGUCGCAUAACUGUGUACUGGUACUCAAAGUU
rnacentral:lncRNA from 1 species